rnacentral:lncRNA from 1 species
CUUCAGGCUCACCUUCUUGGUUCUGGCUGGUGCCUGCGGUUUGGGCUCCAUCUUGAGCAUUAUUCUAACUAUGAGGAUAAGGCCUGUCUAUGAGAUGCUUUAUGCUGGGGGUUCUUUCAGGCUUCCUCAAACUUCAAAUCACCAACCUGCUCGAAGUGGAAUAUGAUAAGUUGAGGCCAUAGGAAGCCAUUCUCCUGAAGCACAUGACAUAGUAGAUAUUCCGGCUAUGUAAAUUCACUUUUUAAGAAUUUGCACAAUGCGUUGCAAGUUUGAGUGCCAACCCAGGAAAUCAACAGUCAUCUAAUUCAUGCUAUACUAGUUAUGAUGAUAAAGUUUUCCUCUCCAUAUGACAGCUAAAAUGCAAUUGAGGAGGAUAGUUAUCGAUGAUUGAUAUCCUGUUUUAGCUAGAAGUAUACCGAACAAGGUUCAUGUAUCCAUUAUUUUUGGUUUCCUUGAAAAUGCACUUCUAAAUUUCUUUGAUGAAUAAUUUUGCACUAGUGUAAUGGUUCAGCUCAAAUCUUUGAGUGGUUUUUUUGAAUUGGAUAACUGUUGUUUUCGAUCUAUAAUUUAGUUUAGAUUGCAUGCAUUUUUAUAUAAUUAAGUUCAUCUUGGUCAAAAUAAAAUCAUAGCAUACAUACUAAAUAGAUAUUAAAACUUGCAAUGUAUAUAGUGUAUGAGGGGCAUACCCCAAGAAAUAUAAAUGCUUGUUACCUGGUCUAUUUAACAAAAAAUAACAAGAAAAAAAAGCAAAAGCUAAAAAAGAAACUGAAAAAGAACAAAAGUAGACUGUGAAGACAAAUAACAGAUAAGUCGGUCGACUAGUUAAUUACAUAUGAAACUGUACUAAACAGAAUCUCGAAAUCAACAAGAGCAAUUAUAUCUCAUGACUCUCAGAGGCAUCAAAUGGACCUGAAAGUAGCUGGGAUAUGAAACCUGGUUCGAGCUCUAUCAAAUGGGACUGGACCAAAUAAAAAAUGUCUUUGCAAACAUCUUGAUGAGAUCAAUAAAUCUUAUGGAAGACUUGAUUAUUUCUCUCACACUAGAUGAAGUAAAUCAAGGUUGUAAGGGCUAGCCAAGUAAGUAGAUGUGUAAAUUCUUUUUUCUUUUAUAGUGCUUGCAUGCCCACUAAAGUAGAUGAUGCCAUAUAAAAGAAGGCCAACCCAUAAGGGUCAUAUUCUUGAUAACACCCUAAACUGUAGCAAAGAAAGGACACUGAAAGAAUAAAUGUUCAUGUGUUUCAACCUACAACCCACAAAAAAAACAUGUCGAAUAGGGAAUGAUCUGAAAAGCAUGUAGUCUAUCCAUGAUGUUGAGACAACCCAUAGAUACAAGCAACAUGAUAAAGAGUGUCUCAUGAUGAAACCUGGAAACCAGAGAAGAUGGUGCAUAUAGUCUAUAGGUCUGGAAUAUUUAAGAACCUCCCAUGCCGAGUCAAUAGAGAACCUCCCCAAUUAGUUACCGUUCCAAACAUAAUGGUUUGGUAAGGCACUCCUGGGUUAAAAGUAAUCGAGUCUAUAUAAGCUGGAGCUCUAGACUACCCGAUGGAAAAACCCAAGUAUCCCUCUUAAUGAUGUUUGAGACCUUAGCAUUCCACGAUAACCUAAUAUAAGUGAGCACCCUAAAAGACACUAGGUUGCAUAACCGUUGCCCAUCUGACAAUCAAUAGUCUAACCCCAAAGAGGUAGUAGUUCCAUUACCAAUACUGGAGACGAACUUCCUUUUACACCAAUCUUUGAUGAGUAGAACCUUCCUCCAUGACUAAGAGGACAUUGAAGGAGGCAUGACAUGCCAUAAGGAUCUGCCUUUGAGCAAAACAUUAUCGACCUAUCCCGACCAAAUUGAUGAUCAAUCUGAUAGUAGUCGCUAGACAUGCUUGAGAAUAACUGCUUCAUUCCAAGUUUGAGCCUCCUUUAUUUUUAGGCCACCCUUCUUAAAGGAUAACAAACAUAGACCCGAACCACCUUAGCCCCUAAGUGGGAGAUAGAGCAACUUUUCUAAAGAAAGGCAGCUAAGAUACCCUUAAUCCUCUUAAUAAUAGAGCAAGAAAGAAUAAACAUGGAGGACCAAUAAAACUGGAUGGAGAAGAGAAAUGAUUUGAUUAGUUGAACACGCCCAACAUAAGUAAAAGAAGAAGAAAAGAUACACAACUUAAUCUUGGAGAGAAUCCGCUCUACUAAAGGCUUACAAUCAGAGUGAGUCAGUUUAGUAGAUAUCAAUAGAACCUUAAAUUAAAGGGUUUUGUAAGCCCUCUCUAAAAAUACCUCUUAAGUUCUCCAUAGUCAGGAUAAAUAAAUAAGGGGACAAAUGAUCACCCUGUAGAUGAACCCUGGAAGAUGGGAAGAAACCACAAUUCUCUCCAUUAAAAAAAAUUUAUUUUCGUAUGAAAACAAUUCCAACAACAAAAUUGAACAUAAAAAUUCAACAAUAAAAAGAAAAACAAAUAUAAUGCAAAAUAUAUAUAUAAAAAAAAAGAAAAAUCUUACCUUAACUUUGUUACGAGUGAAGUUGAGUAGAGAAAAAAAGAACAAAUUCAUACAAUAUGUUAAUUAAAAAAAAGAGUAAAACUGAGAAGAGAAA